GCUCAGAGGACAGUUUUGAGCCAGACAGAGGAAGUGAACCAGAGACUGGGUCAUGCCUUGCAGACCCACAGUGAGCUGCAGGACCAGCUGAGUGAGGCACGCAGUAAGCUGGGUCAGGCCACUCUGGUGAGUGGCAGGGUUGGGGUCAAUUCCAUUUAAUUUCAGGAAACCUUUAUUCAUCACUCAAAGGGACAUACAGCAUUAACUCUAGUCCUGGACUAAAAAAACAUAGUCAAUGGACGUUCUUUUUUAAUCCUGAGGACUGAGCUUAAUCAGUGUCUGGGAAACCAACCCAAAGUCCUCUUUCACUUCACUGACUGGUCGUAACCAGCCUCUCUGUCGAGCAGGAGAGGGACCUUCUGACCACCAAGGUGUUGCGGCUGGAGGACAGUGUGGAGGACCUGAAGAUCAAGCUGACCGGGGCCAUGUCUGACAAGGACCGCUUACUGCAGGAGAAGGCAGACCUGCACCAGCACGCUCAGGAUCUGAAGCUGCAGUUGGAGAGGGCCCAGAGAGGCAGGGAAGGCUACACAGACCAGGUGUGUGAGCUCAGCAACCAGCUGGCUGAGGCCAAGGCCCAAACCAACAGGCAGGGGCAGGAGACUGUGCAGAUGAAGCAGGAUCUUCUGACUGUGACAGAGGUGUGAAGUUUGAAUGAACUUGGUUUGGUUAUACACUGUGACGUAGAGGGUUUCAAAAUUCUGGGAAUUAAAAAAAAAAGGGGGAAACUUUCUAUUAAAAUAUUUCUGAAACGUUCCAUAUAUAUUUACCAGAACAAUGCACCCUAAAAGGGGAAACUUUCUAUUAAAAACCCUAUUUCUAGUCCUAGUGCUGUACCUGUUGGUUCCACUUGUUGAGCUGAAUUUUUUUGUACUCUGUGACUGAAUUUUCUACCUGCUUAAGUGUUCCAUAUCCUGUCUGAAUGUUUAACCAUAUCUAUCUCUUUGAUAUUGGACAGAUGAAUGAAAAGAUGACAUCAGAGCUGGAGAUGGUCAAACAGAGGCUGGAGUCCUCAUUGGCUCAGCUGCAUGAGCUGGGGGCGGAGAGAGUCAUCCACACCAAUCAGAUCGCAGCUCUGGAGACGGAGCGCUCGCAGCUGAUUGGAGAGAAGGAGGAGUUAACGAGUGCUAUUGGACGGGAUGGAAGACAGGAGGAGGAAGUGACAGAGUUGAGGGAGAGUUGUUGUCAGCUCAGUGAAUCCCAGGAUGCCUUGGAGUCAGAGAACCAGAGGCUGCACGAAUGCUGCCUGACCUUGGAGGCGGAGCUCCUGGAAAAGGAGGAGGGGCUGUGUCAGAAGGGGGAGGAGCUGCAGCGGUUGGAGGCUGAGUCGGCUCAGAACAUGGAGGAGCUUAGGGGUGUGGCCUCACACUGGAGCGGGAAGUGGCAGGAUGUGGCUAUGGCGUUACAAUCCACCCAGGCAGAACUAGAGGAACUCAGAGAGAAGAACCCUGGAGAUACACUUCAAGAGGAGGUGGUACGGCUGAAGGUGGAGGUUGAGAGACUUCAGACAGAGGGACAGAGAGACAAGGAAGAGAUUCAGACUCUUCAUCUGCACUGGGCCAGUAAAGACGCAGAGCUGAGCGGAGUCAUUAAAGAUGCCGGCUCUCUGCUGAAGGUAGAGCUGGACGCUUGUAAACAACAGUUGGAGCUGGAGAGGAGUCGGAGUCAGGCUCUACACAACAGACUCAAAGUUAGAGGCAACCCUCAUAUCUUGGGUAGGGGAACGGUAGAAACGUUUGAUAAAGGGACAGAGACAGAUAUACCACCACAGACACGGGAUGAACAGGUCUCGCUGGAGGAGCUGGGCCAGGUGAGCUACAGAUGGUCUCCCUGGAGGAGGUGGAUGGGGGCCAGGUGAGCUACAGAUGGUCUCCCUGGAGGAGGUGGAUGGGGCCAGGUGAGCUACAGAUGGUCUCCCUGGAGGAGGUGGAUGGGGGCCAGGUGAGCUACAGAUGGUCUCCCUGGAGGAGGUGGAUGGGGCCAGGUGAGCUACAGAUGGUCUCCCUGGAGGAGGUGGAUGGGGCCAGGUGAGCUACAGAUGGUCUCCCUGGAGGAGGUGGAUGGGGGCCAGGUGAGCUACAGAUGGUCUCCCUGGAGGAGGUGGAUGGGGGCCAGGUGAGCUACAGAUGGUCUCCCUGGAGGAGGUGGAUGGGGCCAGGUGAGGGUAGAGCUACAGAUGGUCUCCCUGGAGGAGGUGGAUGGGGGCCAGGUGAGGGUAGAGCUACAGAUGGUCUCCCUGGAGGAGGUGGAUGGGGGCCAGGUGAGCUACAGAUGGUCUCCCUGGAGGAGGUGGAUGGGGCCAGGUGAGGGUAGAGCUACAGAUGGUCUCCCUGGAGGAGGUGGAUAGGGGCCAGGUGAGGGUAGAGCUACAGAUGGUCUCCCUGGAGGAGGUGAUGGGGCCAGGUGAGGGUAGAGCUACAGAUGGUCUCCCUGGAGGAGGUGGAUGGGGGCCAGGUGAGGGUAGAGCUACAGAUGGUCUCCCUGGAGGAGGUGAUGGGGCCAGGUGAGGGUAGAGCUACAGAUGGUCUCCCUGGAGGAGGUGGAUGGGGGCCAGGUGAGGGUAGAGCUACAGAUGGUCUCCCUGGAGGAGGUGAUGGGGCCAGGUGAGGGUAGAGCUACAGAUGGUCUCCCUGGAGGAGGUGGAUGGGGGCCAGGUGAGGGUAGAGCUACAGAUGGUCUCCCUGGAGGAGGUGAUGGGGCCAGGUGAGGACAGAGCUACAGAUGGUCUCCCUGGAGGAGGUGAUGGGGCCAGGUGAGGGUAGAGCUACAGAUGGUCCCCCUGGAGGAGGUGAUGGGGCCAGGUGAGCUACAGAUGGUCUCCCUGGAGGAGGUGAUGGGGCCAGGUGAGCUACAGAUGGUCCCCCUGGAGGAGGUGAUGGGGCCAGGUGAGGGUAGAGCUACCGAUGGUCUCCCUGGAGGAGGUGAUGGGGCCAGGUGAGGGUAGAGCUACAGAUGGUCUCCCUGGAGGAGGUGAUGGGGCCAGGUGAGGGUAGAGCUACAGAUGGUCUCCCUGGAGGAGGUGAUGGGGCCAGGUGAGCUACAGAUGGUCUCCCUGGAGGAGGUGAUGGGGCCAGGUGAGGGUAGAGCUACAGAUGGUCUCCCUGGAGGAGGUGAUGGGGCCAGGUGAGGGUAGAGCUACAGAUGGUCUCCCUGGAGGAGGUGAUGGGGCCAGGUGAGGGUAGAGCUACAGAUGGUCCCCCUGGAGGAGGUGAUGGGGCCAGGUGAGGGUAGAGCUACAGAUGGUCUCCCUGGAGGAGGUGAUGGGGCCAGGUGAGGUAGAGCUACAGAUGGUCUCCCUGGAGGAGGUGAUGGGGCCAGGUGAGGGUAGAGCUACAGAUGGUCUCCCUGGAGGAGGUGAUGGGGCCAGGUGAGGGUAGAGCUACAGAUGGUCUCCCUGGAGGAGGUGAUGGGGCCAGGUGAGGGUAGAGCUACAGAUGGUCUCCCUGGAGGAGGUGAUGGGGCCAGGUGAGGGUAGAGCUACAGAUGGUCUCCCUGGAGGAGGUGGAUGGGGGCCAGGUGAGGGUAGAGCUACAGAUGGUCUCCCUGGAGGAGGUGAUGGGGCCAGGUGAGGGUAGAGCUACAGAUGGUCUCCCUGGAGGAGGUGAUGGGGCCAGGUGAGGGUAGAGCUACAGAUGGUCUCCCUGGAGGAGGUGAUGGGGCCAGGUGAGGGUAGAGCUACAGAUGGUCUCCCUGGAGGAGGUGAUGGGGCCAGGUGAGGGUAGAGCUACAGAUGGUCUCCCUGGAGGAGGUGAUGGGGCCAGGUGAGGGUAGAGCUACAGAUAGUCUCCCUGGAGGAGGUGAUGGGGCCAGGUGAGGGUAGAGCUACAGAUGGUCUCCCUGGAGGAGGUGGAUGGGGGCCUGGUGAGGGUAGAGCUACAGAUGGUCUCCCUGGAGGAGGUGAUGGGGCCAGGUGAGGGUAGAGCUACAGAUGGUCUCCCUGGAGGAGGUGAUGGGGCCAGGUGAGGGUAGAGCUACAGAUGGUCUCCCUGGAGGAGGUGAUGGGGCCAGGUGAGGGUAGAGUUAUACAGUGCAUUCGUUAAGUAUUCAGACCCCUUUACUUUUUCCACAUUUUUGUUACGUUACUGCCUUAUUCUAAAAUUGAUUAAAUAACAUAUUUUCCUCAGCAAUCUACACACAAUACCCCAUAAUGACAAAGCAAAAACAGGUUUUUAGACAUUUUUAACAAAUAAAAAACAGAAAUACCUUAUUUUUACACCUUAUUUACACAAGUAUUCAGAUGCUUUGCUAUGAGACUGAAAAUUGAGCUUAGGUGCAUCCUGUUUCUAUUGUUCAUCCUUGAGAUGUUUCGACAACUUGAUUGUAGUCCACCUGUGGUAAAUUCAAUUUAUUGGACAUGAUUUGGAAAGGCACACAUCUGCGAAUGUUCACCUUCCAACAAGACAACGACCCUAAGUACAUAGACAAGACAACGCAAGAGUGGCUUCGGGACAAGUCUCUGAAUGUCCUUGAGUGGCCCAGCCAGAGCCUCUCUGGAGACCUGAAUAUAGCUGUGUAGCGACGCUCCCCAUCCAACCUGACAGAGCUUGAGAGGAUCUGCAGAGAAGAAUGGGAGAAACUCCCCAAAUAGUGGUGUGCCAAGCUUGUAGCGUCAUACCCAAGAAGACUCGGCUGUAAUUCAACAAAGUACUGAGUAAAGGGUCUGAGUACUUAUGUAAAUGUAAUAUUUAAUUUUUUCAUAUUUAAUAAAUUAGCAACAAGUUCUGAAAAACCUUGUUUUUGCUUUGUCAUUAUGGGUUAUUGUGUGUAGAUUGAGGGGGGGAAAAACAAAUCCAUUUUAGAAUAAGGUUGUAACGUAACAAAGUGUGGAAAAAGUCAAGGGGUCUGAAUACUUUCCGAAGGCACUGUAGAUGGUGUCUCUGGAGGAGGUGGACGUGGCCCAGAUGAGGGGCAGCUUUACAUAAAGGUGUGGGACAUGCUGAGGGACAGAGACACUGAACUGGAGGAGCAGCAGCAACAUGAGUUACAGUCAGCCAGGGGACAGGUGGGGUAGUCAGUUAAUCAAUCAAUUAAACAAUCAGUCAAUUUGUUCAUGUGUUUCCCUCUUCUGCACGUCCUGACUGUCAUGAGGUGUCACAGCUAAAUAGUGAACUUCAGAGGCUGGAGCUGGAAGUGGCAGAGCGAGAGCAGCAGCUGAGGGAGAAGUAUGUGAGCCUUACCUGUAACAUGUACAUUUAGAAAUGAACAGUAUCUCUCAC
ensembl:lncRNA